rnacentral:lncRNA from 1 species
AUCGAUCAUUCAAUGAAUCAGUCAAAUCAAGGAGUAAUAGAAAAACCAUUUCCCAAGCACUGUGGAAAGAUAUGAAGUUUUAAAACAGGAUCCUUUGUUGCCGUGGCCAUGAUGUAAGCCAGUUGCUGUAGCUCCGUUUUUCAACUCCUAGCCUGGGCACUUCCAUAUGCCUCAGGUGCAGCCCUAAAAAUCAAUCAAACAAACAAAAUACAAAAAGCCUGAUCCUUGUUUCACCCUUGAAGAAAAACAUAGUUUUGAGUUUUAGAGAUGUUAAGUAACAAGUGCUCAGAGCCUGUAGGUAGAGAGACCAGGAUUUGAACCCAGGGUUUCAAACUCUACUUCUAGGGCUAUUCUCUCCCUGGAGUAGAUACUCGGAAGUAUUAGAAAAGCCUAGAGAGUGGAGACUUUUGGUCUUUUUUUAAAACUGUAUAAUAGAUUACAAUUGUUUUGUGAGCCUGGAAGUGAGGCAGAUCAGUAAGGGCUGGAGAACACAAAGAAAACUCCUUGCAUAGACAGUCUGUCAAAGGAAGGGUAAGAUGUGAGUUGAGUGAAGUAGAAUCAAAGUGGUUAAUAUUAGUUUCACCCAGAUGUUUCUAGAAGAAUGGGUAUUAGUUUGAAGCACAAAGAGCUAAUUGCUAAUGUAGUAAUUUCUAUGACUUAAAAUCUAGUUUUAAAAAUAGAUGUGUUUAUUUAGGUAAUCUUUUUAUUAUUAUUAUUUUUUGUCUUUUUUUUAGGCCGCACCCUCACAAUAUGGAGGUUCCCAGGCUAGGGGUCUAAUCAGAGCUGUAGCUGCCGGCUUAGACCACAGCCACAGCAACGCCAGAUUCAAGCCACUCUGCAACCUACCCCACAGCUUACGGCAAUGCCAGAUCCUUAACCCGCUGAGAGAGGUCAGGGGUGGAACCCACAACCUCAUGGUUCCUGGUUGGAUUCGUUUCUGCUGCUCCAUGGUGGGAACUCCCUAUUUAGGUAAUCAAUAAUUUUCUACUUACAUGUGAUUUUUUAAGAUGGAGGGGAAAAAAAGGUAUCCACUAUCUGGUCAAUUCACCAUACAUUUAUGUGUUACUUAGAAGUAAUAGAUAAUGAUGAACAAUAAACAGUCCUUAUUGUUAAGAAAUUUAGAUUCUGAUUAAGGAAUUAUGACUUCAGCUGUACCCGAAGAAUUUAAAAUAUAAAGAUUCUUAACAACUUUUGGUUCUUUUAAUAUUUUUUUCAGACUUUACUUAGUAAGUAUAAUAAGCAAAAUUAAACCCACUAUUUUUAUAAUGGCUCCCAAAUACAUUUUCAUUUGAAACAGGCAGUUUUAAUUAAGAGUUUUAAUUAAUUACCCCAGCAACAUGGUGUACAUCCUUUAAGGUAUAUACUCUAUACUAUACUAUCUGUGGUUCUUAUUUUAUUUGAAGCAAUUAAAUUGGUCUACAACUUGUGGUGAUCCCAGUAAAAGAAUUUUUAAGUUCUUAACUUGCCUUGAUCCAAAGCACUAUUGUGUGAAUGUCUCAGUGUAUAGAAAAUAAUUAGAGCAAAGAUUUGAGUAUCAUGCUAAGUGCUUCAUAAGAAUUGUCUUAUUUGACCUAUAUUCUGUACCACUAUUGUUCCCACUCUACAGAUGGGAAAGUUAGGAAAGGAAAUCUGACAGUCAUGUUAGGAGCAAAAAGGCUUGAGGAAAUGUGCUCUCAAAUUACUCAAGUACAGAGAGUUUAUAGUAAUGGCAAUUUCUUAUUAUCGUUUUAUCUAAAAAUCUUUCAUUUGUUCAUCAUUAAAAGAGAGAAUAGGGAGUUCCUUGGUAGUCUCCCAAAUAGGACUCUGGCUCUUUCACCUCUAUGGCCUGGGUUCAUCCCCUGGUCUGGAACUGAGAUCCCACAUCAAGCUGCAGUACCCAGUACCCAAAACAAAGACAAAACUCUAUGAUAAGAUGCUACUCCACUGUAUUGUCAUCAUCAUCAUCAUAAUUCUUAAAAUAUAUUAUAAUUCUUCUUAAAAUACAUUAUAAUUAUUUUAUAUCUUAGUAACUUACAAUAUUGUUAUAUACACUAUGUGGAAAUGCAUUACAUACAUUACAUGGAAACAGUGCAUUACAGUAUAUCAUCAUACUUUACUAGCUAAUUGUGAACCUGUUUCCCUUGUUUGAAUGCAGUUUGCUUUCUUAGAAGCUCAGAAAGGUUAAGUUGCUCAACUGGAGACACUAGUAAGUGAUGAAACAGAAUGCAAAUUCAAGCCUGAAUGACUCCAAAAGAAUAUGGCCUUCACUGUGCCUUGCUUCUACCCCUACUCAGGAUUUACUUUUUAUUACACUUAUUCAAUCCAAGUUCGAACUGUAAAUUUUACAAAUAUAUUGGAGUCACUGUAUAAAUAAGAACAUACCAUAGGAAGUUAUGGGCCAGAAUAAACUGGUUAUACAUGACUCAUCAUCAUUAGCUAGAGAGCCAUCACCCUGUGCUGUAGUCAGACAGUUAUUUACGGAAACUUAGCCAAACAAAACCCAGAGGGAGCCAUCCAUUGUCCAUGCAGUGACAUGUUAAAUGAAAUUAUCUGUUUUGUUUUGGUCAAAUCCAAGAAAAUAAUGGCUCUAGUUCUCAUUUUCCAAAGUGAAAUUUGAAUUUACUUGGCCUGAACUACUAAAGAAGAAGAUCAAAAAACCACUUGAAGUCUUCAGCUUCUUGCCAAGAUGGAAUAACUGGGAUUGGUUAUACUCUUCCUCCUGGAAGACUGGGAAUAGCACAGAUUCCCACCAACAAGCCUAGAAAACCUCAUAAUAUAUGACACUUACAUAAAGCAUUCAGAAGUGUUCAGUCUUAGUAUUGGGGAAUGAUUAGCUCUAGACUGACCACUACUCUGGACCCACCUAACAGAUGUUAAAAGCACGACCUGAAAAUGUCAAUGUUUCCAAGUUUUUUAAGCACAAUGAGAUGCCCCAUACAACUCUUCGAAUGUCUAGAAGAAACAUUUGAUCAUACCAAGUAUUAGCAAGGAUGUGUAGGGAUUGGGACUCUCAUAUACCAUAGAUGGGAAUGUAAGAUGCUAUACCUACUUUGAAAAGCAGGUAGUUUCUUCUAAAGUUAAUUAAGCCUUAACCAUUCCAUUCCACUACUAGGUACUUGCACAGAAGAAAUGAAAAAUGGUCUUUACAAAGAUUUCUGCAUGAAUGUACUUUAUUUACAAACAGCCUCAAACUGAGAACAAAAUGUCUGUCAGUAGGUGAAUAAAGAAACAAAUUAUAGGAAUUCCCGUCGUGGCGCAGUGGUUAACGAAUCCGACUAAGAACCAUGAGGUUGCGGGUUCGAUCCCUGCCCUUGCUCAGUGGGUUAACGAUCUGGCAUUGCCGUGAGCUGUGGUGUAGGUCGCAGAUGCGGCUCGGAUCCCGCGUUGCUGUGGCUCUGGUGUAGGCCGGUGGCUAUGGCUCCAAUUGGACCCCUAGCCUGGGAACCUCCAUAUACCGCAGGAGUGGCCCAAGAAAUGGC